ensembl:miRNA
AUUUUCAUCACCUAGGGAUCUUGUUAAAAGGCAGAUUCUGAUUUAGGGACCAAGAUUCUGCAUUUUUAGCAAGUUCCCAAGUGAUGCUA